GCUCGGCUGUCCUAGUGGUUAGAGCGUCCGCUUCAGAUGCGAGAGGUCGUGGGUUCGAACCCUGGAUGAGUU